CCUACGGGUGGCUGCAGUGGGGAAUAUUGCACAAUGGGGGAAACCCUGAUGCAGCGACGCCGCGUGAGUGAAGAAGCACUUCGUUAUGUAAAGCUCUAUCAGCAGGGAAGAAAAUUACGGUACCUUUUGAAUACGCCACGGCCAACUACGUGCCAGCAGCCGCGGUAUUACGUAGGUGGCAAGCGUUGUCCGGAUGUACUGGGUGUAAAGGGCGUGCAGCCGGGAAGAAAGGGCAGAUGUAAAAUCCUGCGGCUCAACCGCGGAACUGCAUUUGAAACUGGUUUGCUUGAGUGCCGAAGAGGUCGUCGGAAUGCGUGGUGUAGCGGUGAAAUGCGUAGAUAUAAGGAAGAACACCGAUUGCGAAGGCAUCUCACGAAGCCGCGAUUGACGCUGAUGCACGAAAGCGUGGGUAUCAAACAGGAUUAGAUACCCCUGUAGUC
rnacentral:rRNA from 1 species